UACGUAGGGGCCGAGCGUUGUCCGGAGUUAUUGGGCGUAAAGCGCGCGCAGGCGGCUUGGCGCGCCCGACGUGAAAGCCCCCGGCUUAACCUGGGAACUGCAUUCGAGACUGCAUAGCUAGAGUAUGGGAGAGGGAAGUGGAAUUUCAGGUGUAGCGGUGAAAUGCGUAGAUAUCUGAAGGAACAUCAGUGGCGAAAGCGACUUCCUGGACCAAUACUGACGCUCAUGUGCGAAAGCGUGGGGAGCAAACAGG
rnacentral:rRNA from 1 species